rnacentral:rRNA from 1 species
CGUGCAGGCGGCCACCGCAAGUUGAAUGUGAAAUCCCCGGGCUUAACCCGGGAAGUGCGUUCAAGACUGCGGGGCUUGAAUACGGGAGAGGAUCGUGGAAUUCCUGGUGUAGAGGUGAAAUUCGUAGAUAUCAGGAGGAACACUCGUGGCGAAGGCGACGGUCUGGACCGAUAUUGACGCUGAGACGCGAAAGCGUGGGUAGCAAACA